rnacentral:rRNA from 1 species
AACGCGAAGAACCUUACCUACUCUUGACAUCCAGAGAAUUCGCUAGAGAUAGCUUAGUGCCUUCGGGAACUCUGAGACAGGUGCUGCAUGGCUGUCGUCAGCUCGUGUUGUGAAAUGUUGGGUUAAGUCCCGCAACGAGCGCAACCCUUAUCCUUUGUUGCCAGCACGUAAUGGUGGGAACUCAAAGGAGACUGCCGGUGAUAAACCGGAGGAAGGUGGGGAUGACGUCAAGUCAUCAUGGCCCUUACGAGUAGGGCUACACACGUGCUACAAUGGCAUAUACAAAGAGAAGCGAACUCGCGAGAGCAAGCGGACCUCAUAAAGUAUGUCGUAGUCCGGAUUGGAGUCUGCAACUCGACUCCAUGAAGUCGGAAUCGCUAGUAAUCGUAGAUCAGAAUGCUACGGUGAAUACGUUCCCGGGCCUUGUA